AACCAGUUUAUUUAUUAAUUUUAUUUAGGUGUUUUUAUUAAAUUUUAUAUUAUUUUUCACUGUUUCAAUGUACUUCAUCAGUUGUAUUUACCGUAAUAAUUUGAUGUCAUUUAUUUUACGUAUUAACCAUAAUAAUUUCACAUGUCAUUUAAAUGAAAUUGUUCCAUUAGUGGAAAAAAUUCAAACCGGUUAACAAUAUAUUUUUUAUUUAUUUACAUCAGUUAAACAUGGACAUUCAAGUAUACGUACGGAUAUAGAUUGGUUUUACGGUAUCGGGUUUUUGGAUUCUAAAAUUAAACUUAUGUUAAAAUAUUAUAAAUUUUUGGAUAUGAUUCGAAUUAGAUUCUUUCGAGUACAUAUAAGUUUUUAAGAACCUAAAAAUAUAUAAAUAACUUAUAUAUUUAAAAAUAUCACUAAACAAUUUAUGAAAAUGUAAAAAUUAAUAUUUGCACGGACGUACGGAUCAAGCUCUAGUAGUCUUUAAAAUAAACACUAAAACUAAAAACACGAAGAAAGAUGAGUAUUAAUUAAGGAAUUAACAGAAAAGGAAAAGCAAACGACAAUGGUAAGUGGGGGUCACGUAAAAUCUGUUCCAUUCUUGUCUAUUGAAAUGAAGAUUGCGUAUGGACGUGCUCUGCUGGUUCGUCACGAGUGAUUCAUUUUUCUCCAUCUCUCGCUCCAUAGUUUCAAAACUGAUAUAUAUAUAUCAUUUUAGAUGUUUUUUAUUUGCUUUUGCCCCAUACAGAUUCACACACUUCUUUUGGAUUACUUAAAUUCUACUGAUCAUAUUAAAACUCUUUAUUCAUCUCACGUGAUUCUUAUAAAUUAUUGUUAUACAAAAAGGGAGGGCAAUCCAUAACUAAAUCCUUACUUCUUUGCAUACAUUCAAGGCUGAUUGCUUUUCGAAGUGGUUUUAGGAAAAAAAAUGGUUUUAGAAGAAAAAAAAAAUAGUUUUAGAAAAUAACGGCUCUCCAACGGAAGCUACUGGGCCAAUUCUUUGAUAUCAUGGCCCAUGUGCUUUAUUAUUUCAUUACACCCAUGCUCAUUUCUCUUUACACCAUCUUUAACGCUGGUUCUAAUGUGGGAUCUUAAGUCCAAAUUUAAUUAAAAAAAUUAAAAAUAAAAGAAUUGGGCUAAGAGGUUGAUUCCUGGAAACCUUACGGAGGAGGCGCCUCUUGCUCGUCUCUUCGUCUCUCUCUCUCUUUCUCCCUUUCCCACAGAGAAUCUCGAAUUUCUCAUACCAAAUUCCAUACAUUUUUGACGGUGGUGCUGCUUGUGAUCUGCACUUGCACUUAUCUCAAGAUGCAGUUCCCUGCCAUUCUCGAGCAAAAAAAAAAAUCAGUCGACCCAGAAGAAGAAGAUGCCGAGGAGAAAGAUUACGAGAACUCCGACGAAGAAGAUGGGAACCAUGGCAUUGAGAGAUACGGAUCUUCUUCUGCUUCAGUGUUUGAUUUCUCUGCAUCCCACUCCGCUAGAGACUCUGGCCUUCCUUCAGCUAAUGACGUUUUCUCUCAGGUUAUCAUCACUUUCUUUCUUAGAAUCCAUCAAAUUUCGAGGAGUUAUUGACUAGAUUCGCUGCAGGAACUGAAUGAUUUCUUAUUUUGGAUUAAAAUUUGUUAGAUGGAUCCAUAAAGUUCUGUGUAAAUAUUUGCUGAUAUCAGGGCCACCAGAGUUUCUAAACAACCGUACAGAAGCUGAUGAAGAAGCCACUGCUAGAGAUGCUGAGCAUGCUAAGCGUAUGACCCAAUAAAAAGAAGAAAGCUAAACCUAAAGGUGUUUUCAUGGAAGCAAAACCUCAGCUUGUCGGGAUCCAUGAGAGAGUCAGAAACGAUAUUGAUGCACAACCUUCUUAAGAGAAUGGUGGAAAGCGAAUAUCUACUGCAACCAAUCCAAAUGCAGAAGAAGCUGCAGAUCUCUUGAGGUUCGAGCUAUAUUGUUGGAUCCUUCUUGCUCUGGCUCUGGAACCAUUACAGAUCGUCUAGACCAUCUCCUUCCUUCUCAUUCAGCAGAUGACGAGCAAACACAGAAAGAUAUGGUCAGAGGAGAACACGGAUGUACGACGGUGAAUCGAAAGCCAAGAUUUUUUGUCUCCUCCACAUCAAGCUGAUGUAAACCAUGAGCUCCACUUACGACAAUACGUUUAAAGGUCAACGUGUCUCCUCUUCGCCAUGGUCGUCAUGCUCGAGAUCUUAGUUGUGGCUGUCAGAAUCGUCAUCGCUUCAGCCGCAGAUCUGAGAGAAAGCUUGAUAGGAGCAACAAUGGUGAACUUUUUUUAUUUACAACAUAUGGUCCUCCAACUCUUGUUUAUUCUCCAAUUUAUCUCAAACUUCUAAUCUGUUCAAUUUUCUUUACAAUUACCCCCAAUAUUUUUAAUUGUACAAUCGACUAUCGAAUAUUCUAAUUUUGCAUCA